CAGCAGUGGGGAAUAUUGCACAAUGGGGGAAACCCUGAUGCAGCGACGCCGCGUGGAGGAAGAAGGUCUUCGGAUUGUAAACUCCUGUUGUUGAGGAAGAUAAUGACGGUACUCAACAAGGAAGUGACGGCUAACUACGUGCCAGCAGCCGCGGUAAAACGUAGGUCACAAGCGUUGUCCGGAAUUACUGGGUGUAAAGGGAGCGCAGGCGGGAAGACAAGUUGGAAGUGAAAUCUAUGGGCUCAACCCAUAAACUGCUUUCAAAACUGUUUUUCUUGAGUAGUGCAGAGGUAGGCGGAAUUCCCGGUGUAGCGGUGGAAUGCGUAGAUAUCGGGAGGAACACCAGUGGCGAAGGCGGCCUACUGGGCACCAACUGACGCUGAGGCUCGAAAGUGUGGGUAGCAAACAGGAUUAGAUACCCUGGUAGUCCACACCGUAAACGAUGAUUACUAGGUGUUGGAGGAUUGACCCCUUCAGUGCCGCAGUUAACACAAUAAGUAAUCCACCUGGGGAGUACGACCGCAAGGUUGAAACUCAAAGGAAUUGACGGGGGCCCGCACAAGCAGUGGAGUAUGUGGUUUAAUUCGACGCAACGCGAAGAACCUUACCAAGUCUUGACAUCCCUUGACAGACAUAGAAAUAUGUUUUCUCUUCGGAGCAAGGAGACAGGUGGUGCAUGGUUGUCGUCAGCUCGUGUCGUGAGAUGUUGGGUUAAGUCCCGCAACGAGCGCAACCCUUAUGGUCAGUUACUACGCAAGAGGACUCUGGCCAGACUGCCGUUGACAAAACGGAGGAAGGUGGGGAUGACGUCAAAUCAUCAUGCCCUUUAUGACUUGGGCUACACACGUACUACAAUGGCGUUAAACAAAGAGAAGCAAGACCGCGAGGUGGAGCAAAACUCAGAAACAACGUCCCAGUUCGGACUGCAGGCUGCAACUCGCCUGCACGAAGUCGGAAUUGCUAGUAAUCGUGGAUCAGCAUGCCACGGUGAAUACGUUCCCGGGCCUUGUACACACCGCCCGUCACACCAUGAGAGCCGGGGGGACCCGAAGUCGGUAGUCUAACCGCAAGGAGGACGCCGCCGAAGGUAAAACUGGUGAUUGGGGUGAAGUCGUAACAAGGUAGCCGUAGGAGAACCUGCGGCUG
rnacentral:rRNA from 2 species